AUGCACGCUGGCGGCGUGCCUAAUACAUGCAAGUCGAGCGAACAGAUGAGGAGCUUGCUCCUCUGACGUUAGCGGCGGACGGGUGAGUAACACGUGGAUAACCUACCUAUAAGACUGGGAUAACUUCGGGAAACCGGAGCUAAUACCGGAUAAUAUAUUGAACCGCAUGGUUCAAUAGUGAAAGACGGUUUUGCUGUCACUUAUAGAUGGAUCCGCGCCGCAUUAGCUAGUUGGUAAGGUAACGGCUUACCAAGGCAACGAUGCGUAGCCGACCUGAGAGGGUGAUCGGCCACACUGGAACUGAGACACGGUCCAGACUCCUACGGGAGGCAGCAGUAGGGAAUCUUCCGCAAUGGGCGAAAGCCUGACGGAGCAACGCCGCGUGAGUGAUGAAGGUCUUCGGAUCGUAAAACUCUGUUAUUAGGGAAGAACAAAUGCGUAAGUAACUAUGCACGUCUUGACGGUACCUAAUCAGAAAGCCACGGCUAACUACGUG
rnacentral:rRNA from 1 species